UCAGCAACUGAAAUUUUCGAA
ensembl:piRNA 21ur-1939 ncRNA